rnacentral:rRNA from 1 species
UACGUAGGGUGCGAGCGUUAAUCGGAAUUACUGGGCGUAAAGCGUGCGUAGGCGGCGUGUCAAGUCAGGCGUGAAAGCCCCGGGCUCAACCUGGGAACCGCGCUUGAGACUGGCAUGCUCGAGUUCGGGAGAGGAUGGUGGAAUUCCCAGUGUAGAGGUGAAAUUCGUAGAUAUUGGGAAGAACACCGAUGGCGAAGGCAGCCAUCUGGACCGACACUGACGCUGAGGCGCGAAAGCGUGGGGAGCAAACAGG